rnacentral:rRNA from 1 species
CGCGGCCUAUCAGCUUGUUGGUGAGGUAACGGCUCACCAAGGCCUCGACGGGUAGCUGGUCUGAGAGGACGAUCAGCCACACUGGGACUGAGACACGGCCCAGACUCCUACGGGAGGCAGCAGUAGGGAAUCUUGCGCAAUGGGCGAAAGCCUGACGCAGCAACGCCGCGUGGGGGAUGACGGCUCUCGGGUUGUAAACCCCUUUCAGCAGGGACGAAAAUGACGGUACCUGCAGAAGAAGCCCCGGCCAACUACGUGCCUGCAGCCGCGGUAACACGUAGGGGGCAAGCGUUGUCCGGAUUUAUUGGGCGUAAAGAGCUCGUAGGCGGUUCGGUAAGUCAGGUGUGAAAGUCCGGGGCUCAACCCCGGAAAGCCACUUGAUACUGCCGUGACUGGAGUUCGGUAGAGGAGUGUGGAAUUCCCGGUGUAGCGGUGGAAUGCGCAGAUAUCGGGAGGAACACCAGCGGCGAAGGCAGCACUCUGGGCCGAUACUGACGCUGAGGAGCGAAAGCAUGGGGAGCGAACAGGAUUAGAUACCCUGGUAGUCCAUGCCGUAAACGUUGGGCACUAGGUGUGGGGCCUUAUCAACGGGUUCCGUGCCGUAGCUAACGCAUUAAGUGCCCCGCCUGGGGAGUACGG